UACAGAGGUCUCGAGCGUUGUUCGGAUUCAUUGGGCGUAAAGGGCGCGUAGGCGGCGGGGUAAGUCUGGUGUGAAAUCUCGGAGCUCAACUCCGAAACUGCACUGGAUACUGCUCUGCUAGAGGGCUGGAGAGGAGAUCAGAAUUCACGGUGUAGCAGUGAAAUGCGUAGAUAUCGUGAGGAAGACCAGUGGCGAAGGCGGAUCUCUGGACAGCUCCUGACGCUGAGGCGCGAAGGCUAGGGGAGCAAACGGG
rnacentral:rRNA from 1 species